rnacentral:rRNA from 1 species
AAUGGGGGAAACCCUGAUCCAGCCUUGCCGCGUGAGUGAUGAAGGCCUUCGGGUUGUAAAGCUCUUUUGUCAGGGAAGAUGAUGACUGUACCUGAAGAAUAAGCCCCGGCUAACUUCGUGCCAGCAGCCACGGUAAUACGAAGGGGGCUAGCGUUGUUCGGAAUUACUGGGCGUAAAGGGCGCGUAGGCGGCCAUUUAAGUCAGGAGUGAAAUCCCUGGGCUCAACCCGGGAAUUGCUUUUGAAACUAUUUGGCUCGAGUGUAGGAGAGGUGAGUGGAAUACCCAGCGUAGAGGUAAAAUUCGUAGAUAUUGGGUGGAACACCGGUGGCGAAGGCGGCUCACUGGCCUAUUACUGACGCUGAGGCGCGAAAGCGUGGGGAGCAAA